AACGAACGCUGGCGGCAUGCCUAACACAUGCAAGUCGAACGAUCCCUUCGGGGUUAGUGGCGCACGGGUGCGUAACGCGUGGGAACCUGCCCUUAGGUUCGGAAUAACUCAGAGAAAUUUGAGCUAAUACCGGAUAAUGUCUUCGGACCAAAGAUUUAUCGCCUUUGGAUGGGCCCGCGUUGGUUUAGCUAGUUGGUGGGGUAAAGGCCUACCAAGGCGACGUUCCAUGGCUGGUCGGGGAAGAUGAUCAGCCACACUGGGGCUGAGACACGGCCCAGACUGCUACGGAGGGCAGCGGUGUGGAGUAUUGGGCGAGGGGCGAAAGCCUAGUCCAGCAGUGCCGCGUGAGUGAUGAAGGCCUUAGGGUUGUAAAGCUCUUUUACCCGAGGUGAUAGUGACGGUACCGGGAGAAUAAGCCCCGGCUAACUCCGUG
rnacentral:rRNA from 1 species